rnacentral:rRNA from 1 species
GAUGAACGCUAGCGGCAGGCCUAACACAUGCCAGUCGAGGGAGAAGCCCUUUCGGGGGCAGAAACCGGCGCACGGGUGCGUAACGCGUAUGCAACCUACCUUUCACAGGGGGAUAGCCCGAAGAAAUUUGGAUUAAUACCCCAUAAUAUUAUUGGAUGACAUCAUUUGAUAAUUAAAACUGCGGUGGUGAAAGAUGGGCAUGCGUCCUAUUAGCUAGUUGGAGUGGUAACGGCACCCCAAGGCUACGAUAGGUAGGGGUCCUGAGAGGGAGAUCCCCCACACUGGUACUGAGACAGGGACCAGACUCCUACGGGAGGCAGCAGUGAGGAAUAUUGGUCAAUGGUCGGAAGACUGAACCAGCCAUGCCGCGUGCAGGAAGAAUGCCUUAUGGGUUGUAAACUGCUUUUAUAUGGGAAGAAUAAGGCGUACGUGUACGUUGAUGACGGUACCAUAUGAAUAAGCAUCGGCUAACUCCGUG